AUGACUCAAGUGCAGGUUGCAAAUCAUUUUAAUGUCUCUAAAAUGACUAUUGCAAGGCUUAGACUCGUCUUAGAGAUACUGGCACAACAAAUUAUCGCCCGAAUCUCCGUAAACGCGUCACAAACUGCACGACAAACCCACGGAAGACAUAACAACAGAAUAUCUGCUCAAACAGUUCGUAACCGAUUGCGUCAAGUUGGUCUAAGAGCUCGUCGUCCGUUGAAGGGACCAAUCCUUACGCAGCGUCACAGGAUGGCGCGACUUCAAUGGACACGGGUACGGAUUCGAUAG
rnacentral:sRNA from 1 species